CCUACGGGAGGCAGCAGUGAGGAAUAUUGGUCAAUGGUCGGGAGACUGAACCAGCCAAGCCGCGUGAGGGAUGAAGGUACAGAGUAUCGUAAACCUCUUUUGUCAGGGAACAAAGGCGGGGACGUGUCCCCGGAUGAGUGUACCUGAAGAAAAAGCAUCGGCUAACUCCGUGCCAGCAGCCGCGGUAAUACGGAGGAUGCGAGCGUUAUCCGGCUUUAGUGGGUUUAAAGGGUGCGCAGGCGGUCUGUUAGGUCAGCGGUCAAAGCCCGGGGCUCAACCCCGGCCCGCCGUUGAAACUGGCAGUCUCGAGUUGGAGAGAAGUAUGCGGAAUGCGCGGUGUAGCGGUGAAAUGCAUAGAUAUCGCGCAGAACUCCGAUUGCGUAGGCAGCAUGCCGGCUCCACACUGACGCUGAGGCACGAAAGCGUGGGUAUCGAACAGGAUUAGAUACCCCAGUAGUC
rnacentral:rRNA from 1 species